UGUAUCUGUGAUGACCACUUGGCUCCCUCAACAGAAAUCAAAUGAAGAGAAGUGCCCAGAAUUGUUACCCAAAAAUGUCUGAGAUGCA